GACAGAGGUGCCGAGCGUUAGGCGGAAUCACUGGGCGUAAAGCGUGCGCAGGCGGUUUGUUAAGUCCGUUGUGAAAGCCCCGAGCUCAACUUGGGAAUUGCAGUGGAUACUGGCAGGCUGGAGUACGGUAGAGGAAGGUGGAAUUCCCGGUGUAGCAGUGAAAUGCGUAGAUAUCGGGAGGGACAACAGUGGCGAAGGCGGCCUUCUGGACCAGUACUGACGCUCAUGCACGAAAGCGUGGGGAGCAAACAGG
rnacentral:rRNA from 1 species